UGGCUCUCGCAUCGAUGAAGAACGCAGCGAAAUGCGAUAAGUAAUGUGAAUUGCAGAUUUCAGUGAAUCAUCGAAUCUUUGAACGCACCUUGCGCUCCUUGGUAUUCCGAGGAGCAUGCCUGUUUGAGAGUCAUUAAAUUCUCAACUCUCUAGCGGUUGUCAUGACCGCUGGUAGAGCUUGGAUGUGAGGGUUUUGCCGGCUCCUUGCAGAGUCUGGCUCCCUUGAAAAAUAUUAGCGCAGCUUUGCACUGUCUGCUACAGGUGUGAUAAUCUAUCUACUCCUGAUUAGUGACGCGCAUGAAUAGAGCUAUGUGCUUCUAAUCGUCUCCGGACAAUUUUUUGAACUUGACCUCAAAUCAGGUAGGACUACCCGCUGA
rnacentral:misc_RNA from 1 species